GAUCACGACGGCGUGCCUAUUGAAGAAUGAACCGACGAGUUACUGUUGCUAGCGAGGUUAAGUGGAAAACAUGGAGCCGCAGCGAAAGCGAGUCUGAACAGGGCGUUCAGUUAGUGAUAGUAGACCCGAAACCGUAGUGAUCUAUCCAUGGCCAGGUUGAAGCACAGGUAAAAUUGUGUGGAGGACCGAACUCGUGAGCGUUGAAAAGCUUUGGGAUGAGUUGUGGAUAGGGGUGAAAUGCCAAUCGAACACGGAGAUAGCUGGUUCUCCCCGAAAUAGCUUUAGGGCUAGCCUCGAGGUUGAGAGUAUAGGCGGUAGAGCACUGAUCGGGCUAGGGGCCAUACCGGUUACCGAACCUAGUCAAACUACGAAUGGCUAUACUUAUACUCGGGAGUCAGACAGUGAAUGAUAAGGUCCAUUGUCAAGAGGGAAACAGCCCAGAACACCGACUAAGGUCCCCAAUGUCAUACUAAGUGGCGAAGGAUGUGGAAUUUCCAAAACAACCAGGAUGUUGGCUUAGAAGCAGCCACCAUUUAAAGAGUGCGUAAUAGCUCACUGGUCGAGAGACCCUGCGCCGAAGAUUACCGGGGCUAAAGUACGAAACCGAAGCUGUGGCUACGACAUAUGUCGUGGGGUAGGGGAGCGUUCUGUGAGGGCUGAAGUCGUUCUGUAAGGAACGGUGGACUUCACAGAAGUGAGAAUGUUGGUAUGAGUAGCGAAAAGAAUGGUGAGAAUCCAUUCCACCGAAAGCAUAAGGAUUCCUGGGCAACGAUCGUCGUCCCAGGGUAAGUCGGGACCUAAUCCGAGGCAUGGAGCGUAGGAGAUGGACAACUGGCAGAUAUUCCAGUACCGGUAAUGAUUGUUUGAGCGAUGGAGUGACACAGGAGGGCAGGCAGGCAGGAGAUUGGUUGUUCCUGUACAAGCGUGUAGGAUGGGACGCAGGCAAAUCCGCGUCCUGUGAGUCUGAGGCGUGAUGUGGAGGUUCCGGAAACGGAACUGAAGCUGCUGACCCCACACUGUCGAGAAAAGCUUCUAGUUAGAGAAUUACCGCCCGUACCGUAAACCGACACAGGUAUGCGGGGAGAGAAUCCUAAGGUGCGCGGGAGAACCCUCGUUAAGGAACUCGGCAAAAUGUACCCGUAACUUCGGGAUAAGGGUAGCCGCUGUUGUGAAGUCUGAACAGACGGAGCAUGAGGCGGUCGCAGAGAAGAGGCCCAAGCGACUGUUUACCACAAACACAGGUGCCUGCUAAAGAGAAAUCUGACGUAUAGGUGCUGACACCUGCCCAGUGCCGGAAGGUUAAGGAAGGAUGUCCGGAGCAAUCCAAAGCAUUCGACCGAAGCCCCGGUGAACGGCGGCCGUAACUAUAACGGUCCUAAGGUAGCGAAAUUCCUUGUCGGGUAAG
rnacentral:rRNA from 1 species